CCUACGGGUGGCAGCAGUGAGGGAUAUUGGUCAAUGGGGGAAACCCUGAACCAGCAACUCCGCGUGAGGGAAGACGGUUUUCGGGUUGUAAACCACUGUCCUCUGUGAAGAUAAUGACGGUAGCAGAGGAGGAAGCUCCGGAUAACUACGUGCCAGCAGCCGCGGUAAUACGUCGGGAGCGAGCGUUCGCCGGAUUUACUGGUUGUAAAGGUUGCGGAGGCGGCGUUGCAAGUCAGAAGUGAAAUCCCUGGGCUUAACCCGGGAACUGCUUUUGAAACUGUAGGGCUUGAGUGAAGUAGAGGCAGGCGGAAUUCCCGGUGUAGCGGUGAAAUGCGUAGAGAUCGGGAGGAACACCAGUGGCGAAGGCGGCCUGCUGGGCUUUAACUGACGCUGAAGCACGAAAGCGUGGGUAGCAAACAGGAUUAGAUACCCCUGUAGUC
rnacentral:rRNA from 1 species